UUUUGUCACAGUCGAACGAAAACGUCCGUUUUGGGGGUUUUUUUUGAUUUCCAAGCCCCUCAUAUUGCUGACGCCUCAACCCCGCGCUGCCCCACUCCCUGCAGGGAGCUCGGGGCACCCCGGGGUGCCGCAGCCCCAACAGGGUGCAGUUCCGCCGCGCAGCCGCAGGGGCCGCUGCGGGGCAGCCGGCUCCGCGCAUGCGUGCAGGGCUGGCGCCUGCACGCUUCGCCCGCCCGCCGGCUCGGCUGAUGCAAUCCCCCAGCUGCGGAGCGAGGCGGAGCAAGGUAGCCAAUCAGCUGGGGCCCGGAUGCUGCGGGAGGCCCCGCCCUACGCUGCGAGCGCUGGUCGAGAGGACGUUUAACGGCUGGCCCGGCGCCGCCGCCAUUUUGGGGCGCUGAGGGGGCUAUGCGGGAGUGGCUGCGCUGAGGGCCCGCCGCGUGCCGCCAUGGAGCCGGGAGCCGCGGGCCCCGCGCCGCCCAGCUCCUGGCUCGGCCUGGCCUGGCAGAAGCUGGCUCCCACCGCCGCGCAGCCCCCGUCGUCGUGGCUGCGGGGUCUGUCUCAGCUGGUGCAGUGGCUGUUGCCGGGCCCGGCGCUGAGCAGCGCCCUGUGCCCCGCCGCGGGGGGGGACCCGCCCGUCCGGCCGCUCCCAGGCUGGGCGCAGACCGAGCUGGGCCCCGAGCCCGGCGCAGUGUGGGGGGGCGGCCUGGCGCGGCCCGCGCUCGCCCUGGGUCUCGUGUCCUACGCGGUGGGGCCCGCGCGGGACUGGAGCCACCUGCCGCAGCCCCUGCGAGCCGAACUGCCGCUGGGCCCCCGCCUCCGCGACGAGCUGCCCGAGAUCCAGCGCCUCCGCAGCAAGCACCUCGAGUUCCUGCAGCAGCACCAGAGACUCCCCGAGCCCGACCAUGGCUACCACAGCCUGGAGGAGGAGCUGAGCCGGGGUAACGUUCCUUGAUGAAGUUACUGAGUAUUAUGUAAGCAGUGAGGAAGACAGGAAAGGACCCUGGGAAGAAUUUGCGCGGGACGGAUGCAGGUUCCAGAAACGUAUUCAAGAAACAGAAGAUGCCAUUGGGUACUGCUUAACAGUAGAGCAUAGACAGAAGAUAUUUAACCUACUCCAGGAAACAUACUCCAGAAAGCCUGAACUUUUCUAGCACCUUAAAGAUGUAGUAGACUUUUGUUAUGUUACUUAUCACUAAUAAACCGUCACAAAUUUCUUGAGAAAUAUUUGUU
rnacentral:lncRNA from 1 species